AAAUAAUCCUAGCAGAAAAACAAUCAGCAAUGGGGAAUGAUCUGCUUUACGCUUUCAUCCACCCAUCCAUUCAUGCACUCAUUCAUUGAUUCAUACACUCAUUCAUUGAUUCAUGCACUCAUUCAUUGAUUCAUUCAUUGAUUCAGUCCUUUAAACCUUUUGGUCUCUUCCGCAUUUCUCCUUUAAGUAGACCUCCCUGUCACGUGUGCAAGUUGUUCCGCUUCGGUCUUUCAGAGCUGCAUGCUCAUGCGAAAGGACUGCGAUCAUGGAGGCUCCGUACCAUUUGAGAAGUUAUCACUGAUGACCUCAGGGCAUGAUGAACCUAUAAGGCCAAAAAUGGAGCAGGUGAUUCAAAGUAGGUACAUUUUUAUUUGCAGUAACCUAGCCCCUUUUAAUGACCAUUUAAGACUCACAAGUGUCUUGAGUGUCAAACACAGGGGGGCAGAAGAAUUCUCUCAAAAACCUAAAGUAAUGGCUAUCAAAACCGUACUUUGGAUCCUGUCGGGAGAAACACACUUUUAUCUGAAAGUAGACAAAAAGGCAGACCGCUCUUAAUCACAAGAGAUGUUAGCAAGCCAACGUGUUGGUAGAAAACUUGUUGGAAGCUAUUUCUAAUCUCCAGAGCAAUCUAACAUUAUGUAAUGCAUUCUUCAAACAGGAUAGGAUUUUUUUUAGUUCAGGAUAUCCACGAAAAGCAGGGUGCAAGUGUGGGGAGUAAAACCGAAUUAAUGUUAGAGGACACUGAAUUGUGUUUCUUGCUAAGUAGCCCAUGUCAUAAAGGACUCCACAUUGCAGCCAUGACAGGUUAACGUUUGCUAGCGGGCCUAGAGAAACUUGGCUAGUUGGUAGAUACAUUUGUCUAAAUGUAGGCAAAAGGAAGGUCGGUUGCCCUAUAUCACAAUAGAUGUUAGCAAGUCAACACAGUGGUGGAAGGAUGUCAGUCAGUUAUGGCUAUUUCUACAGAGCAAUAUAACGUUUUGCAAUGCAUUCUUUUUUUCAAACAGGAUGACUUCAGGGCAUGAUGAACCUAUAAGGCUGAAAAUGGAGCAGGGGAUUUCAAAGGAGGUAAAUCAGUAAGUCAGGACAGUUGUCAUUUUAUGUGCAGUAACCUAGCCCCUUAUAAUGACCAUUUAAGACUCACACGUGUCUUGAGUGUCAAACACAGGGGGGCAGAAGAAUUCUCUCAAAAACCUAAAGUAAUGGCUAUAAAAACCAUACUUUGGAUCCUGUCGGGAGAACACUUUUAAUUGACUACACACCCGUGUGUGCGUUAAGGAGGAAGAUAUGGGUGUGUUCAUUAUGCAUUAUGGUACAGUGAUAUUUUUUUUGGUUACCUGUCAAUCUUCACAUCCCCUUUAUUUGUCCCACCCAGAACCCAUGGAGUGAGCAGAAGGUGGCCACCUUAGGGCGGGACUUCUUACCGUCUGGCAUCAAGGCAAUGACUGACGUGCAUAUCGCAUUGAAAGGUAAUGAAGUUUCUUGGCUUUCUUCGUAUGAGCUGGCCCCUUUUUAGCCCAUUUAAGACUUUGUGUCCUAAAUGACUUACACAGGGGGGUAGAGGAAGUCAUUGAAGUCUUUCAAAAACCUAAAGCGAAGGCCAACACCUUGCUUUGGAUCCUGUCGGAAGAUACACAACUUCUUUAAAAUGUUAAGUGAUGGAUUUUCUGAUUUUGUUUGUCAGGAAAUGGUAAGUCAUUGUUAGUUUGUCAAGUGCAGCUGUGUUGAGACCCUCUCUGAAACCUGGGACGGGGGCCUUGCCUCUGGAUCUGUUGGAAGGUACACUUAACCAGACCAUUGAGGUGCUUUUGCAUGCACCCUUAGGUCUGGCGUUUUGUAUUGGAUGUUAGAUGUCAGUCUUCUCAUCCUCGGCUUCAUUUUUCUUCCCCUGUUUAGAACCCAUGGAGUGAGCAGAAGGCGGCCAUCUUAAGGCGGGACUUCUGACCGUCUGGCAUCAAGGCAAUGGCCUGAUGUGCAAAUCGCAUGGAAGGUAAUGAAGUUUCUUGGCUUUCUUCAUAUGAGCAGGCCCCUUUUUAGCCCAUUUAAGACUUUGUGUCCUAAAUGACUUACACAGGGGGGUAGAGGAAGUCAUUGAAGUCUUUCAUAAACCUAAAGCGAAGGCCAACACCUUGCUUUGGAUCCUGUCGGAAGAUACACAACUUCUUUAAAAUGUUUAGUGAUGGAUUUUCAGAUGUUUGUCAGGAAAUUGAAAAUUGUUGGCUUGUCAAGGGCCUCGUCUAAAAGUUUUUAUGGUGCGCAGGUCAAUAGAGCUGCGGCCUCGCUCUCCGUGCCCUGGUGGAGACUGGUACCCAGCAAAGAAUAAAGGUAAUAUAACUACUCGUGCA
rnacentral:lncRNA from 1 species